rnacentral:misc_RNA from 1 species
GAAAAAAUAUAGCUAGUCUUCAUUAUAGAAAGAAAAGGAAAGUUUACAUUAUGACUCCAGAUUACCACAGGAUUUAGAAAACACACUUCAAUACCAUGCAUCAAAACAACAAGGUAAUCAAAAGACAAAGGAUAUCAAGCAAUACAUGGACACUAUUUUGCAAUUUCUACACAACUACACCAUAUUUAUACAUCAAGGGCACUAAAGUUUAAAUAACACAAUCACUUUCAACCUCGAAUUCACCAAUACUUGAGGCCUUCACCAGCUACUAGCUUAAGAUUGUAAGCCCUGGAGCACUAACCUCCAUCAUCCUUGGUAUGCUAUCAAUAAUCUUUGGUGGAACUAUUUCGGCACUGACAGUAGCUGACUUUGGGUCAUAAGCUGAAAGAUGGACACCUAAUGCAGCCCUGCCAGAAGGAUCAAGAUUAUUCGACCACGCAGCAUCCCAUUCAACAGCUUUCGCAGUGCUGCAGGCUAUGCUUGCUCCUCCAGGAACAGUCAGCCUGGCUGAGUUCUGUGGAAAGAACCUCUCAAAAAUCAUUCUGUAGUAGUAGGCUUCCUUGGUAGUUGGGGUAUUAUGAGGGAAGAUGUGCCCAGCAUUCUGCAUCAUCUUAUCUGUCACAUGUUGUGCAGCAUGAGCUUUGAGUCCAUCGAUCCAGCUAUAGCCAACACCAUCACUGAAUUGCUCUUUCUGCCUGUACAGGAUAUGCUUUGGCAGAUAAGGACGCUCCUCAUCAUCAAAAGCUCUCCUAAGAACCCAUUUUUCAAUGUGUCCUUGUUCUGGUUUUAUCAUUUUCCACUCAGGAUCAAUAGCCAUAGCAACAUUAAUAAAUUCCUUAUCUAAAAAGGGCACUCGAGCUUCCAGACCCCAUGCAGAUGUUGCUUUGUUAGCUCUCAAGCAGUCAUACAGAUGAAGGGCCUUUAUCUUGCGACAGGUUUCUCGGUGAAACUCUUCCUUAUUAGGUGCCUUGUGGAAGUACAAAUACCCACCAAAAACCUCAUCAGAACCUUCACCAGAAAUGACCAUCUUCACUCCAAGCGCCUUAAUCUUACGUGCCAUAAGGAACAUAGGGGUGCUUGCUCUGAUUGUUGUGACAUCAUAUGUUUCAAUAUGGUAUAUCACAUCUUCGAUUGCAUCAAUACCAUCCUGAACAGUGAAAUGAAAUUCAUGGUGAACAGUACCCAAAUAAUCUGCAACUUCUUUUGCAGCCUUCAAAUCUGGUGAACCCUCUAGACCAACACAGAAGGAAUGCAGCUGAGCUCCCCAUUGCUUAGCUGCCUUUGUACCAGCCAAGUGGCGAGCUGUGAUUGAGGCCACCAGUGAUGAAUCCAGGCCCCCAGAAAGCAGAACUCCAAAAGGCACAUCAGUCAUUAGCCUUUUAAUUACAGCAUUUUCAAAUGCACGUCUUAGAGCAAGCGGAUCAUAUGGAGUUGAGGGAAUAGUCUCAGAAAACCAAGGUGGAUUAUACCAUUGCCUUAAUCCACCUGACUUGCUGGAGUACAAAUGCCCAGGUGGAAAGCACUCAAAAUGUUCACAGUCAUCGUUCAAACCUUUCAGUUCAGAUGAGAUCCAAAUGGAGCCAUCAAGCCCCCAACCAAUAUAGAGGGAGGUGAUCCCAAUAGCAUCACGAGCAACAAUGAAACUAUUGUCACGAGUAUCCAGAAGAACAAAAGAAAACAUUCCAUCCAACAUGUCCACGAAAUUUUCCCCAUAUUCCUCAUACAGAUGGGCAAUUACAUCACAGUCACUUCCCGUUCGGAAGUUGUGAUUAGGCAAAAGCUGCCUCAGCUCUUCAUGGUUGUAAAUCUCUCCAUUCACCGUUACAACGAUGGCUUUGUCUUCAUUAAAGAGGGGUUGAUCCCCAGAAGCAGGAUCAAUAAUUGCUAAGCGUUGAUGAGUCAAAUAGCAGUCCUCAUGCUGAUAGAGCCCACUCCAGUCUGGGCCACGGUGCUUCAAUCUGCGAGAGAGCUCAAGCACGCGAACCCUUUUGGCUUGAGAAUCAUCAGAGCAACCAAGAACAGCAAGGAUCCCACACAUAGUUAAGCUUUUUUCAGUAACAAAAUCACACUCAAAACACCCACAAAGAUUAGAUAUUAACCAAAGAAGAUAAAAAUAAUGGCAAUUUUUUGGUUUUCAAAGAGAAGAAAAACAGAAAUAAUUAAAGGAGAAGAGGAAGUGACGGAGUGUUGAUAGUAUUAAACAACACGUAUAGAAAGGUUGGAUGGUUGAAUGCGCAAGUCUCUUAUCAGAAGCCACGUAUUUAUAGACCUCAAAACACGACCUUUACUACAUCGAGAUUUAU